rnacentral:lncRNA from 1 species
GGCCAAAUAACAGUAAAUCAUCAAUCACACUAGACUCGGGCUCCAUUAGCAACCUUAAGCAAUUUCACACAUGCGUUAAUUCAAGAGAUACCGUUUUAUCAUUUUGAACUUUAAUACCGUGAUAGGAAAUAGGGUGAGGGGUCCUUACUUAUUUUCGGGAUCCGAAUACGAUUCACAGUGCGCCUACAGGCCGUCCCUAAUUUUCCCUGAAUUUUUCCCGGGGAACUGAAACACACUAAUGGUACCUGCACGUGUUCC